rnacentral:rRNA from 1 species
UCAUAAUAACUUAACGAAUCGCAUGGCCUUGUUGCCGGCGAUGGUUCAUUCAAAUUUCUGCCCUAUCAACUUUCGAUGGUAGAGUAGUGGUCUACCAUGGUUUCAACGGGUAACGGGGAAUUAGGGUUCUAUUCCGGAGAGGGAGCCUGAGAAACGGCUACCACAUCCAAGGAAGGCAGCAGGCGCGCAAAUUACCCAAUCCCGACACGGGGAGGUAGUGACAAUAAAUACUGAUACAGGGCUCUUUUGGGUCUUGUAAUUGGAAUGAGUACAAUUUAAAUCCCUUAACGAGGAACAAUUGGAGGGCAAGUCUGGUGCCAGCAGCCGCGGUAAAUUCCAGCUCCAAUAGCGUAUAUUACAGUUGUUGCAGUUAAAAAGCUCGUAGUUGAACCUUGGGCCUGGCUGGCCGGUCCCGCUCACCGCGUGCACUGGUCCGGCCGGGCCUUUCCUUCUGGGGAGCCGAUGCCCUUCACUGGGUGUGUCGGGGAACCAGGACUUUACUUUGAAACAAUUCAGAGUGUUCAAAGCAGGCCUAUGCUCGAAUACUUAGCAUGGAAUACUAGAAUAGGACGUGUGGUUCUAUUAAGAGGUUCUAGGACCGCCGUAAUGAUUAUAGGGAAUAGUCGGGGGGCAUCAGGUA